AAUGAACGCUGGCGGCAGGCCUAACACAUGCAAGUCGAGCGAGCAUUUCGGUGCUGGCGGCGGACGGGUGAGUAACGCGUGGGAACGUGCCCUUUUCUGCGGAAUAGUCCUGGGAAACUGGGGGUAAUACCGCAUACGCCCUUUUGGGGAAAGAUUUAUCGGAGAAGGAUCGGCCCGCGUUGGAUUAGGUAGUUGGUGGGGUAAUGGCCCACAAAGCCGACGAUCCAUAGCUGGGUUGAGAGGAUGAGCAGCCACACUGGGACUGAGACACGGCCCAGACUCCUACGGGAGGCAGCAGUGGGGAAUCUUAGACAAUGGGGGCAACCCUGAUCUAGCCAUGCCGCGUGAGUGAUGAAGGCCUUAGGGUUGUAAAGCUCUUUCAGCUGGGAAGAUAAUGACGGUACCAGCAGAAGAAGCCCCGGCUAACUCCGUG
rnacentral:rRNA from 1 species